rnacentral:rRNA from 1 species
UACGUAGGGUGCAAGCGUUAAUCGGAAUUACUGGGCGUAAAGCGUGCGCAGGCGGUUUUGUAAGUCUGACGUGAAAGCCCCGGGCUCAACCUGGGAAUUGCGAUGGAGACUGCAAGGCUUGAAUCUGGCAGAGGGGGGUAGAAUUCCACGUGUAGCAGUGAAAUGCGUAGAGAUGUGGAGGAACACCGAUGGCGAAGGCAGCCCCCUGGGUCAAGAUUGACGCUCAUGCACGAAAGCGUGGGGAGCAAACAGG